rnacentral:rRNA from 1 species
CCUACGGGUGACAGCAGUGGGGAAUAUUGCGCAAUGGGCGAAAGCCUGACGCAGCGACGCCGCGUGAGGGAUGAAGGUCUUCGGAUCGUACACCUCUGUCAGCAGGGAAGAACGGUCACUGUGCUAAUCAGCAGUGAAUUGACGGUACCUGCAAAGGAAGCACCGGCUAACUCCGUUCCAGCAGCCGCGGUAAUACGGAGGGUGCGAGCGUUAAUCGGAAUUACUGGGCGUAAAGCGCUCGUAGGCGGUAUGUCAUGUCAAGGGUGAAAUCCCCGCGCUCAACGUGGGAACUGCCUUUGAAGCUGGCAAACUGGAGUGUGUGAGAGGAUAGUGGAAUUCCAGGUGUAGGAGUGAAAUCCGUAGAUAUCUGGAGGAACAUCAGUGGCGAAGGCGACUAUCUGGCACAUAACUGACGCUGAGGAGCGAAAGCGUGGGUAGCAAACAGGAUUAGAUACCCUUGUAGUC